UGGGGAAUAUUGCACAAUGGGCGCAAGCCUGAUGCAGCCAUGCCGCGUGUGUGAAGAAGGCCUUCGGGUUGUAAAGCACUUUCAGCGAGGAGGAAGGUGGUGGACUUAAUACGUUCAUCAAUUGACGUUACUCGCAGAAGAAGCACCGGCUAACUCCGUGCCAGCAGCCGCGGUAAUACGGAGGGUGCAAGCGUUAAUCGGAAUUACUGGGCGUAAAGCGCACGCAGGCGGUUUGUUAAGUCAGAUGUGAAAUCCCCGGGCUCAACCUGGGAACUGCAUUUGAAACUGGCAAGCUAGAGUCUCGUAGAGGGGGGUAGAAUUCCAGGUGUAGCGGUGAAAUGCGUAGAGAUCUGGAGGAAUACCGGUGGCGAAGGCGGCCCCCUGGACGAAGACUGACGCUCAGGUGCGAAA
rnacentral:rRNA from 1 species